CCUGGUAGAUCAGACAGUAAAGAAUCUGCCUGCAAUGCAGGAGACCUGGGUUCAAUCCCUAUAUCGGGA
rnacentral:tRNA from 1 species